rnacentral:rRNA from 1 species
GACGAACCGUCCAAACGUUGUUCGGAAUCACUGGGCUUAAAGGGCGCGUAGGCGGACUGCCAAGUCCGGGGUGAAAUCUUUCGGCUUAACCGGAAAAGGGCCUUGGAAACUGGCGGUCUCGAGGGAGGUAGGGGCCUGUGGAACUUCGGGUGGAGCGGUGAAAUGCGUUGAUAUCCGAAGGAACGCCGGUGGCGAAAGCGACGGGCUGGAUCUCUUCUGACGCUGAGGCGCGAAAGCCAGGGGAGCAAAACGGGG